rnacentral:rRNA from 1 species
GGUGAACGCUGGCGGUAGGCCUAACACAUGCAAGUCGAACGGCAGCACAGUAAGAGCUUGCUCUUACGGGUGGCGAGUGGCGGACGGGUGAGGAAUACAUCGGAAUCUACUUUUUCGUGGGGGAUAACGUAGGGAAACUUACGCUAAUACCGCAUACGACCUACGGGUGAAAGCAGGGGAUCUUCGGACCUUGCGCGAUUGAAUGAGCCGAUGUCGGAUUAGCUAGUUGGCGGGGUAGAGGCCCACCAAGGCGACGAUCCGUAGCUGGUCUGAGAGGAUGAUCAGCCACACUGGAACUGAGACACGGUCCAGACUCCUACGGGAGGCAGCAGUGGGGAAUAUUGGACAAUGGGCGCAAGCCUGAUCCAGCCAUACCGCGUGGGUGAAGAAGGCCUUCGGGUUGUAAAGCCCUUUUGUUGGGAAAGAAAAGCAGCAGGUUAAUACCCCGCUGUUCUGACGGUACCCAAAGAAUAAGCACCGGCUAACUUCGUG